rnacentral:rRNA from 1 species
AGAGUUUGAUCAUGGCUCAGGACGAACGCUGGCGGCGCGCCUAACACAUGCAAGUCGAACGAGCGAGAGAGAGCUUGCUUUCUUGAGCGAGUGGCGAACGGGUGAGUAACGCGUGAGGAACCUGCCUCAAAGAGGGGGACAACAGUUGGAAACGACUGCUAAUACCGCAUAAGCCCACGGCUCGGCAUCGAGCAGAGGGAAAAGGAGCAAUCCGCUUUGAGAUGGCCUCGCGUCCGAUUAGCUAGUUGGUGAGGUAACGGCCCACCAAGGCGACGAUCGGUAGCCGGACUGAGAGGUUGAACGGCCACAUUGGGACUGAGACACGGCCCAGACUCCUACGGGAGGCAGCAGUGGGGAAUAUUGCACAAUGGGGGAAACCCUGAUGCAGCGACGCCGCGUGGAGGAAGAAGGUCUUCGGAUUGUAAACUCCUGUUGUUGAGGAAGAUAAUGACGGUACUCAACAAGGAAGUGACGGCUAACUACGUGCCAGCAGCCGCGGUAAAGCGUAGGUCACAAGCGUUGUCCGGAAUUACUGGGUGUAAAGGGAGCGCAGGCGGGAAGACAAGUUGGAAGUGAAAUCCAUGGGCUCAACCCAUGAACUGCUUUCAAAACUGUUUUUCUUGAGUAGUGCAGAGGUAGGCGGAAUUCCCGGUGUAGCGGUGGAAUGCGUAGAUAUCGGGAGGAACACCAGUGGCGAAGGCGGCCUACUGGGCACCAACUGACGCUGAGGCUCGAAAGUGUGGGUAGCAAACGGGAUUAGAUACCCUGGUAGUCCACACUGUAAACGAUGAUUACUAGGUGUUGGAGGAUUGACCCCCUCAGUGCCGCAGUUAACACAAUAAGUAAUCCACCUGGGGAGUACGCCGGCAACGGUGAAACUCAAAGGAAUUGACGGGGGCCCGCACAAGCGGAGGAACAUGUGGUUUAAUUCGAUGAUACGCGAGGAACCUUACCCGGGCUUGAAUUGCAGAGGAAGGAUUUGGAGACAAUGACGCCCUUCGGGGCCUCUGUGAAGGUGCUGCAUGGUUGUCGUCAGCUCGUGCCGUGAGGUGUCGGCUUAAGUGCCAUAACGAGCGCAACCCCUCUCCUUAGUUGCCAUCAGGUUAAGCUGGGCACUCUGGGGACACUGCCACCGUAAGGUGUGAGGAAGGUGGGGAUGACGUCAAAUCAGCACGGCCCUUACGUCCGGGGCUACACACGUGUUACAAUGGCAGGUACAGAGAGACGGUCCCUUGCAAAACGGAUCAAAUCCUUAAAGCCUGUCUCAGUUCGGACUGGGGUCUGCAACCCGACCCCACGAAGCUGGAUUCGCUAGUAAUCGCGCAUCAGCCAUGGCGCGGUGAAUACGUUCCCGGGCCUUGUACACACCGCCCGUCAAGCCAUGAAAGCCGGGGGCGCCUAAAGUCCGUGACCGUAAGGAGCGGCCUAGGGCGAAACUGGUAAUUGGGGCUAAGUCGUAACAAGGUA